GGUGAGGAAAGUCCGCCCUCCGGGGUCGCCGCGCGAGCUAAUCACAGCGGGUGCACCGCGAUGCGGUCCGCACGCCCGCAGGUUCACGCGCGUCUCCCCUCCGCCCCCACCCACGGCGCUACCCCGGGCCUUGGCGGUGACCCCGAGGGGACCAGGCCGAGCCUGCCACCUAGCUGUCACAUAGCCAGGGGAAAACCUGCAGAAGGAUGAGGAAGACUACGGUCCCGCUUCCGUCCACGCCUGCCAGCUCACGAGGGGACUUGCGCCGCGCUUGAGUUCCACGGGUUUCUUUUAAAAAACGAGCGUGGCGUCUGAAGUCCCCUAACUGUUCUGUCGGCUUGUGCACAGACUCAGUUUGUCCCUGGGCCGCCGAUUCUGAGGAUUCGUUCGAUUCCGAUAACCUGAUUUUUAGGGUCACCAACAUUUGCACCUCACUCCCACCCCUUCACCCCUCCUUUCCAGCUUCCACGAGUUCACGCUCAGGCGCCUCCUUCCCGCACCGCUGAGCCGGCGCCGGGGAGGACCCGGGUCAGCCCCGCCAGCCUCACUUCAAAGGCCAGGAUUUCGGUGUUCCGCGCCCGCAAAGGAAAUAAAAGAGCAGAAUUAAUG
rnacentral:lncRNA from 1 species